UACGUAGGGUGCGAGCGUUGUCCGGAAUUACUGGGCGUAAAGGGCGCGUAGGCGGCGAACCAAGUCAGAUGUGAAAGUCCUGGGCUUAACCUGGGGACUGCAUUUGAUACUGGUUUGCUUGAAUUCGGGAGAGGAUAGCGGAAUUCCCAGUGUAGAGGUGAAAUUCGUAGAUAUUGGGAAGAACACCGGUGGCGAAGGCGGCUAUCUGGACCGACAUUGACGCUGAGGCGCGAAAGCGUGGGGAGCAAACAGG
rnacentral:rRNA from 1 species